GCCAUUGUAUGCAACACAAUUGCCUAAGAUCUCAGCAACAACACCACUCACAUUGAGAAUCCUUGCACCCUUAUCCAGGCCGUGCUGAGCUCCUCAUCCAGAGUUUCUGAGGCAGCAUAUAGUAUGAGACCAUGUAAGCCUUGCAAGGAUCCAUGCCUCACAAGUGCAGCCUCCCAAUGUGUGUCCAAGCCACUGACAUUCCUAUACUGCAUCGCAGAAGGAC
rnacentral:lncRNA from 1 species